GCUCUGGUGGCACAAUGGUUAAGUGCUCAGCUGCUAACUGAAAGGUCUGUGGUUCAAACCCACCAGCAGCU
rnacentral:tRNA from 1 species